rnacentral:lncRNA from 1 species
AUUUAUAUCCCUAUACAUUAUCUCUUAUUCAUUUGAUCUCUCAAGUAGGUCCUUGUUAGCUAUGUUCUGAUUAACUCAUUAUGCAGUUAGUAUACUAUAUGCAAACAAAUAAAACCCUCAGUGGAGCAUCCUGAUGUUUCUCUCCAGGACUGACCGUGUAAUAUUGACGUGGGAAAGGUGACACGAUGCUGAGUCUGAUACUUCUAGCAGCUGGCUGUAUGACUUUGGCUAAGGCCCUUAACCUGCAGUUUUCUCACCUGAAAAUAAGAGGGAGUAAUUUAUCCCUACUUACAGAGAGAUUGCCCUACGUGUAACAGCUGCAUACAAAAAAGUUAUAAAAUUAUCAUUGGUUUAACAAGGAUAAGUGAAAAACAUUAAAAUUCUCCAACUGAACAAGGUAUGCAAGGAUUUUUAUCUUGUUGUUGUUUUGUUAAAAUAGUAAGAGCAAAAUAACUUACUGGAAUAUAAAGAUAAGAGCUGAAUGAGCAUGCCACUAAUGGAGAAAGGGGGUAUUUUCACAGAAUCAGUAUUUUUU